rnacentral:lncRNA from 1 species
CAACUGGGACUCUGCACACAUACAUGCAUGCAAAGCACAGACACUGAAAGCCUGACACACAUACAGAGAGAGAGAGAGAGAGAGAGAGAGAGAGAAAGAAAUUCAAACAAACUCAUUUGAUUCAUGUUUCAUCUGCUCUCUCUCAGAUGCACAGGUACCCUCAACUCUUCUCAGUCACAACUGUAGGCCUACUGUAUCUUGUUCUGAACUCAUGAUCUAGAAGGUCUUAAUUCACUGAGAGCUGAAUGCCCAGGGUCAUUAUCCGGUCUCUCCUUUUUUUUCCAAGGGCGGAAGAAGCGAAAGAAGAGGGUGAGAGGGAAGGAGGGUAAGAGUGCAGGUGCUGUGGAGAGAGGGCCCUGGCUGGAGAAAUUGCACAUGCUGGACAACGCCAUAGAUGAGGCAGGGUCAGAGGACACUGCUGCAGGGAUGGACUUCAUCAACAUAAUUUGUGUUUUUGUCAAGCACUCACCUCAACUGCUGGAGCUAGACCUUGGAGAGAACCAUGUUGGAGAGGCAGGAGGCCAACUGCUACUGAAGGCACUCACUGAACGGCGCAAAGCCAAGCUCCCCCCUGUUAAAAUCCAAGUCUCUACAAGAAUGAGCCCCUCUACCUUCUCGGCCAUUUUGAAGAGCGCCAAGGAGUUGAAGUCGGUGAAGAGGAAGCGACCAACCAGAGGCAAGGUGAGGCCGAGUGCAGUACGGAGGUUACUCCCGUCAUUACUUCCACCA